CCUGAUGAGCGGGCUAACAGUUUUAUAAAUGAUGGGCUCGACAACAUCUGAACAGUGAGAGUUGGGUCAGAACAGAGGAAAGAUGUUUUCUGUUCAAACCCUGAUCGUUGCUGCUCUCCUGGCAGAGCUGGGCCUUGUGGUGGAGUCUUCCUUUGGGGAGGGCGCCAGAUCCUACAGCUUCGAUCUCUCCAAUACGUCAGACCUGAACCGACUUUACAACUCGCCGGUCCAUCGGGCUGUCAGGAUGAGGAGACCGCUGGGGAGCACGAGCUUCCAGUUUGGACCCCUCAGCCACUCAGGAGUGAAGUCAGUCCAACUUAACUCAACUUAAAUCAACUCGGUCCACCCAAUGCAACUGCUACAAUAUUGUAUUGGGUGACGUUGCGUGACGGUUCCACAUGGUUGGUCCAUAAGGGAGACGGUUUUGGCAUCAGUUCUCAGACCGUGGUGGUGGACGCCAGACACAUGAGCACUUCCUGGCAGAUUUUGGAAACAAAAGAUUUCAGGGGGACCAAGACGGUGGGUGAUUUUGUCAGGGCUGGCGGCUCCGACUACAGCCUGCUCUUCGAUAACUGUCACUUCGGGGCAGGUCGGAUGAUGGACCAGUGAUCUCUGGCGCCCUCUACUGCUACAUCUUUUAACUGCAUCCAAAACCUCUUAUUAGCUAGAAGGUUUAAGUGCUUCGUGCUUCUUAAAAGCUCGACAACAUAUCAUUUUCUGUUUCAUUUCAUUCAUUUUCAAAAUAAAUACAGAAAUCAUAUCAAAGUU